rnacentral:rRNA from 1 species
ACUGGUGAGUAAUACGUAGGAAUCUACCCUAGAGUGGGGGAUAACCCGGGGAAACUCGGGCUAAUACCGCAUAGUCUCUACGGAGUAAAGGUGUCUUUUCAGCAAUGAGAAGGUAUCGCUAGAGGAUGAGCCUACGCCGGAUUAGCUAGUUGGUAGGGUAAAGGCCUACCAAGGCGACGAUCCGUAGCUGGUUUGAGAGAACGACCAGCCACACUGGGACUGAGAUACGGCCCAGACUCCUACGGGAGGCAGCAGUGGGGAAUAUUGGACAAUGGGCGAAAGCCUGAUCCAGCAAUGCCGCGUGUGUGAUGAAGGCCUGCGGGUUGUAAAGCACUUUCGUUGGGGAAGAAAUACUCAAGGCUAAUAUCCUUGAGGGUUGACGUUACCCAAAGAAGAAGCACCGGCUAACUCUGUGCCAGCAGCCGCGGUAAUACAGAGGGUGCAAGCGUUAAUCGGAGUUAUUGGGCGUAAAGGGCGCGUAGGUGGAUAUUUCAGUCGGAUGUGAAAUCCCCGGGCUUAACCUGGGAAUUGCAUUCGAUACUAGAUAUCUAGAGUAUGGUAGAGGAAAGUGGAAUUCCCGGU